GGAUCUUCCCCGCCAUCUUUGGGUUUCUCUGCAUUGGCCGCGGCGAGCACAGCCUCCACUGGAGACUGAAGAGGAGUAACCCGCCGCCGGGGGUUGACAUGGGGCUGUCCAGCGUGAGGGCGUGGGCGUGGCGUGGCUCCAGCAGGCAGUGGCGGGGUGUGCCGCCCCCUGGCACGCCCAUACGCCUCGGCAGGAGGAGGAGGCGCCUCCCUGACUGACCCACAGAAAUAAGUGUGGUUGUCGGGUGUGUCAGCCUUCCUCCAGUGAGCCAAGGAAGGGGCUGAGAUGAGUUAGACAAGAGGGAAGGAAGGAGAUGGGUUGGCAAGCCUUCACUGAGACGAGGAGACAAGAUGGGAGAGGUGACGAGCUCCCAGCCGCCCCAGGAGUUGUGUCAGCCAGCCAGUCACGUCAGCCUGCCAACAAGUUGAAGAGAUCCAGGCAGGCAGCAAGUCACCGUUCUCCAGGAGCUUCUUCUAGUCACUCUGUUCCAUUAUGAGAAGGGAGACAAUUAUGGAGAGAAGACAUCACAAAAAGAUCACAGGGA